ACACGACCGUACCGCAAACCGACACUGGUGCGCGAGAUGAGUAUUCUCAGGCGCUUGAGAGAACUCGGGAGAAGGAACUCGGCAAAUUGACACCGUAACUUCGGAAGAAGGUGUGCCUUUAGUAGGUGAAGUCCCUCGCGGAUGGAGCCCAAUGAGGUUGCAAAGAAUCGGUGGCUGCGACUGUUUAAUAAAAACACAGCACUCUGCAAACACGAAAGUGGACGUAUAGGGUGUGACGCCUGCCCGGUGCUGGAAGAUUAAGUGAUGGGGUGCAAGCUCUUGAUCGAAGUCCCAGUAAACGGCGGCCGUAACGAUAACGGUCCUAAGGUAGCGAAAUUCCUUGUCGGGUAAGUUCCGACCUGCACGAAUGGCGUAACGAUGGCCACACUGUCUCCUCCCGAGACUCAGCGAAGUUGAAAUGUUUGUGAUGAUGCAAUCUCCCCGCGGAAAGACGGAAAGACCCCAUGAACCUUUACUGUAGCUUUGUAUUGGACUUUGAACGGAUCUGUGUAGGAUAGGUGGGAGGCUUUGAAGCCGGGUCGCUAGAUCUGGUGGAGCCAACGUUGAAAUACCACCCUGGUGCGUUUGAGGUUCUAACCUAGGCCCGUUAUCCGGGCCGGGGACAGUGCAUGGUAGGCAGUUUGACUGGGGCGGUCUCCUCCCAAAGCGUAACGGAGGAGUUCGAAGGUACGCUAGUUACGGUCGGACAUCGUGACGAUAGUGCAAUGGCAUAAGCGUGCUUAACUGCGAGACUGACAAGUCGAGCAGAUGCGAAAGCAGGACAUAGUGAUCCGGUGGUUCUGUAUGGAAGGGCCAUCGCUCAACGGAUAAAAGGUACUCUGGGGAUAACAGGCUGAUACCGCCCAAGAGUUCAUAUCGACGGCGGUGUUUGGCACCUCGAUGUCGGCUCAUCUCAUCCUGGGGCUGUAGCCGGUCCCAAGGGUAUGGCUGUUCGCCAUUUAAAGAGGUACGUGAGCUGGGUUUAAAACGUCGUGAGACAGUUUGGUCCCUAUCUUCCGUGGGCGCUGCAGAUUUGAGGAAGCCUGCUCCUAGUACGAGAGGACCGGAGUGGACGCACCUCUGGUGUACCUGUUGUCACGCCAGUGGCAUUGCAGGGUAGCUAAGUGCGGAAGAGAUAACCGCUGAAAGCAUCUAAGCGGGAAACUCGUUUCAAGAUGAGAUCUGCCGGGGCCUUGAGCCCCCUGAAGAGUCGUUCUAGACCAGGACGUUGAUAGGUCAGGUGUGGAAGCGCAGUAAUGCGUUAAGCUAACUGAUACUAAUUGCUCGUGCGGCUUGACC
rnacentral:rRNA from 1 species